rnacentral:rRNA from 1 species
GCUGGAGGUAUCAGAAGUGCGAAUGCUGACAUGAGUAACGAUAAAGGGGGUGAAAAACCUCCUCGCCGGAAGACCAAGGGUUCCUGUCCAACGUUAAUCGGGGCAGGGUAAGUCGACCCCUAAGGCGAGGCCGAAAGGCGUAGUCGAUGGGAAACGGGUUAAUAUUCCCGUACUUCUUACAAUUGCGAUGGGGGGACGGAGAAGGCUAGGUGGGCCUGGCGACGGUUGUCCAGGUUCAAGUGCGUAGGCUUAAGGUUUAGGUAAAUCCGGACCUUUUUAAGGCUGAGACACGAUGUCGAGCUACUACGGUAGUGAAGUCAUUGAUGCCAUGCUUCCAGGAAAAGCCUCUAAGCUUCAGAUUGUAAGGAAUCGUACCCCAAACCGACACAGGUGGUCGGGUAGAGAAUACCAAGGCGCUUGAGAGAACUCGGGUGAAGGAACUAGGCAAAAUGGUACCGUAACUUCGGGAGAAGGUACGCUCUUAGUGGUGAAGUCCCUUGCGGAUGGAGCUACCGAGAGUCGCAGAUACCAGGUGGCUGCAACUGUUUAUUAAAAACACAGCACUGUGCAAAAUCGCAAGAUGACGUAUACGGUGUGACGCCUGCCCGGUGCCGGAAGGUUAAUUGAUGGGGUUAGUUUUCGGACGAAGCUCUUGAUCGAAGCCCCGGUAAACGGCGGCCGUAACUAUAACGGUCCUAAGGUAGCGAAAUUCCUUGUCGGGUAAGUUCCGACCUGCACGAAUGGCGUAAUGAUGGCCACGCUGUCUCCACCCGAGACUCAGUGAAAUUGAAAUCGCUGUGAAGAUGCAGUGUACCCGCGGCUAGACGGAAAGACCCCGUGAACCUUUACUACAGCUUGGCACUGAACAUUGAGCCUACAUGUGUAGGAUAGGUGGGAGCCUUUGAAGCAAGCACGCCAGUGUUUGUGGAGGCAAUCUUGAAAUACCACCCUUGUAUGUUUGAUGUUCUAACUUGGUUCCCUAAUCGGGAAUGAGGACAGUGCCUGGUGGGUAGUUUGACUGGGGCGGUCUCCUCCCAAAGAGUAACGGAGGAGCACGAAGGUGGGCUAAUCACGGUUGGACAUCGUGAGGUUAGUGCAAUGGCAUAAGCCCGCUUGACUGCGAGAAUGACAAUUCGAGCAGGUGCGAAAGCAGGUCAUAGUGAUCCGGUGGUUCUGAAUGGAAGGGCCAUCGCUCAACGGAUAAAAGGUACUCCGGGGAUAACAGGCUGAUACCGCCCAAGAGUUCAUAUCGACGGCGGUGUUUGGCACCUCGAUGUCGGCUCAUCACAUCCUGGGGCUGAAGUCGGUCCCAAGGGUAUGGCUGUUCGCCAUUUAAAGUGGUACGCGAGCUGGGUUUAGAACGUCGUGAGACAGUUCGGUCCCUAUCUGCCGUGGGCGUUGGAAGAUUGAAGGGGGCUGCUCCUAGUACGAGAGGACCGGAGUGGACGAACCUCUGGUGUUCGGGUUGUGUCGCCAGACGCAUUGCCCGGUAGCUAAGUUCGGAAUCGAUAACCGCUGAAAGCAUCUAAGCGGGAAGCGAGCCCUGAGAUGAGUCUUCCCUGGCGCUUUAAGCGUCCUAAAGGGUUGUUCGAGACUAGAACGUUGAUAGGCAGGGUGUGUAAGCGUUGUGAGGCGUUGAGCUAACCUGUACUAAUUGCCCGUGAGGCUUAACC